rfam:Gossypium raimondii Chr05_contig_972, whole genome shotgun sequence.
CACGUCAGCGCACUUUGCUGACGUGGACACAAAUAGCGUCCAUGUUAGCGCUAUUUGUCUCAACGUCAGCAAAGUGCGCUGACGUGG